UACAGAGGGGGCAAGCGUUGUUCGGAAUUACUGGGCGUAAAGGGCGCGUAGGCGGCCUGUUAAGUCGAACGUGAAAUCCCCGGGCUCAACCCGGGAACUGCGCCCGAUACUGGCAGGCUUGAAUCCGGGAGAGGGAUGCGGAAUUCCAGGUGUAGCGGUGAAAUGCGCAGAUAUCGGGAGGAACACCAAUGGCGAAGGCAGCUCGCUGGGACGUUACUGACGCUGAGACGCGAAAGCGUGGGGAGCAAACAGG
rnacentral:rRNA from 1 species